CGAAAUCUCUAAAACGUUAUCAGGGGGAGGAUGUCUCUAUGGGUAUUUGGUUAUCAGCUAUUGCUCCUGAAAUUUAUAAGGAUGAGCGAUGGUCGUGUUUCGGGGAUUGUCAGAUGGAAAUGUUUACCUUGCCCGAGCAGGAUGCCGAUUCUCUUCUCUAUUUAUGGGAAAACUUUAUGUCCUGCGGUAAUCCUUGCAAAUGUUGAGAAUACGUUAGUUAUGUCGGGGAGAUAAGAAAAAUUCCAAAUCCACACAAAAAGAUAGAAAAGUACAGCUUCAAUUAAACUUUUUAUCUUUUUUUUU